ACUCUAAACCCCUCACUCUAAACCCUCACUGUAACCCCUCACUGUAACCCCUCACUGUAACCCUCACUGUAACCCCUCACUGUAACCCCUCACUGUACAUCAUUCCAAUCCCCAUCUCUGAUAACGAUGGCUCAAAUGAUCAGAUUUGAUAACCCAGUUCAAAGUGCACUGAAAUUAUUUUUUUAUUCCAACCAGCUCCAGUAGGAUGUAGUUUAAUUCCAACCAGCUCCAGUAGGAUGUAGUUUUAUUCCAACCAGCUCCAGUAGGUUGUAGUUUUAUUCCAACCAGCUCCAGUAGGUUGUAGUUUUAUUCCAACCAGCUCCAGUAGGUUGUAGUUUAAUUCCAACCAGCUCCAGUAGGAUGUAGUUUAAUUCCAACCAGUUCCAGUAGGUUGUAGUUUAAUUCCAACCAACUCCAGUAGGUUGUAGUUUAAUUCCAACCAGUUCCAGUAGGUUGUAGUUUAAUUCCAACCAUCUCCAGUAGGUUGUAGUUUUAUUUUACCUGCAAUAUUUUCCUAUCUGUUAUUGUAUAACAUUUACAGUCAUUCUAAUUGAUAUUUUAAGCAGAUCAAAUGAUGUUGGUAAUAAUGAGCCACUAUCCUUGUGGAAGUCAUAGACUUCAAAUGAAAUUGAAUACAGGCCCGCUCCUAAAAACACCAGGUUUGAAUCAUGUAUUGUAAAUGGUGCAUAUCAAAUGUUUACAAUAGUGUAUUCCUCUUCAUUGUUUUAUUUCAUACAUGCUGGCUUUAAGACACUGUUCCCUCACUAUAUGGUCAGAUGAACCAGACACAACACAUGCCACUGUCCCAAGUAUGUACUACAGCCACCAUUACUACCCUCAAUGAGGUGACUUGUAUACAUGCAAUGGUUUUUGUUCUGGACUUUGGUGUCUUUCGCCUAGACCGCGGAUCUGUUGAAUCUGCGCUACAAUCUUGUCCUGCGGUCAUAUUCCUCCAAACGUAAACACAAUAGACACUAUGUACCUGUGUAUGAUUCAACAUGUCCCGAUAUUUGUAUUUUAUUUUCAAAUUAAAAUCAUUAUAUUAUUAUCUGUUUCUUCUAAGAGUCAGUUGGAUUGGAAGGGAAUAUCAGUGAUGGAGGUAACCAAUAUGUGUAUUGUGUAAAAAUAGUGUAUGACCAUCAAUGUACUUGUCAUUCUACAUGUAACGUUACAACAACCUGCCUGCAUACACUAAGGAGACAUAUCUGUAUAUAUUAAUCAAUACUAUUUUUACUGCAUUUUUGUACAAAUAUUCAUGGUAGCCAUGUACAAGUAGUUCAAAUGAUUCUAUGGUAGUAUUAAAAUAGUUUGGUUUUAA
ensembl:lncRNA